CAGUCGCCACGGUAAUACGAAGGGGGCUAGCGUUGUUCGGAAUUACUGGGCGUAAAGCGCACGUAGGCGGAUGUUUAAGUCAGGGGUGAAAUCCCGCAGCUCAACUGCGGAACUGCCUUUGAUACUGGGUAUCUUGAGUAUGGAAGAGGUUAGUGGAAUUGCGAGUGUAGAGGUGAAAUUCGUAGAUAUUCGCAGGAACACCAGUGGCGAAGGCGGCUAACUGGUCCAUAACUGACGCUGAGGUGCGAAAGCGUGGGGAGCAAACAGGAUUAGAUACCCGCGUAGUCCCUGUCUCUUAUAC
rnacentral:rRNA from 1 species